CCUACGGGAGGCAGCAGUGGGGAAUAUUGCACAAUGGGCGCAAGCCUGAUGCAGCGACGCCGCGUGCGGGAUGACGGCCUUCGGGUUGUAAACCGCUUUUGACUGGGAGCAAGCCCUUCGGGGUGAGUGUACCUUUCGAAUAAGCACCGGCUAACUACGUGCCAGCAGCCGCGGUAAUACGUAGGGUGCAAGCGUUAUCCGGAAUUAUUGGGCGUAAAGGGCUCGUAGGCGGUUCGUCGCGUCCGGUGUGAAAGUCCAUCGCUUAACGGUGGAUCCGCGCCGGGUACGGGCGGGCUUGAGUGCGGUAGGGGAGACUGGAAUUCCCGGUGUAACGGUGGAAUGUGUAGAUAUCGGGAAGAACACCAAUGGCGAAGGCAGGUCUCUGGGCCGUCACUGACGCUGAGGAGCGAAAGCGUGGGGAGCGAACAGGAUUAGAUACCCUGGUAGUCCACGCCGUAAACGGUGGAUGCUGGAUGUGGGGACCAUUCCACGGUCUCCGUGUCGGAGCCAACGCGUUAAGCAUCCCGCCUGGGGAGUACGGCCGCAAGGCUAAAACUCAAAGAAAUUGACGGGGGCCCGCACAAGCGGCGGAGCAUGCGGAUUAAUUCGAUGCAACGCGAAGAACCUUACCUGGGCUUGACAUGUUCCCGACAGCCCCAGAGAUGGGGCCUCCCUUCGGGGCGGGUUCACAGGUGGUGCAUGGUCGUCGUCAGCUCGUGUCGUGAGAUGUUGGGUUAAGUCCCGCAACGAGCGCAACCCUCGCCCUGUGUUGCCAGCACGUCGUGGUGGGAACUCACGGGGGACCGCCGGGGUCAACUCGGAGGAAGGUGGGGAUGACGUCAGAUCAUCAUGCCCCUUACGUCCAGGGCUUCACGCAUGCUACAAUGGCCGGUACAACGGGAUGCGACACCGCGAGGUGGAGCGGAUCCCUUAAAACCGGUCUCAGUUCGGAUUGGAGUCUGCAACCCGACUCCAUGAAGGCGGAGUCGCUAGUAAUCGCGGAUCAGCAACGCCGCGGUGAAUGCGUUCCCGGGCCUUGUACACACCGCCCGUCAAGUCAUGAAAGUGGGUAGCACCCGAAGCCGGUGGCCCAACCUUUUGGGGGGAGCCGUCUAAGGUGAGACUCGUGAUUGGGACUAAGUCGUAACAAGGUAGCCGUACCGGAAGGUGCGGCUG
rnacentral:rRNA from 1 species